rnacentral:rRNA from 1 species
AAUACGUUCCCGGGCCUUGUACACACCGCCCGUCACACCACGAAAGUCGGCAACACCCGAAGCCGGUGGCCCAACCCUUUUGGGAGGGAGCCGUCGAAGGUGGGGUCGGCGAUUGGGGUG